GCGGAUGUAACCAAGUGGAUCAAGGUAGUGGAUUGUGAAUCCACCAUGCGCGGGUUCAAUUCCCGUCGUUCGCC
rnacentral:tRNA from 2 species